rnacentral:rRNA from 1 species
UAGAGUUUGAUCCUGGCUCACAGCGAACGCUGGCGGCAGGCUUAACACAUGCAAGUCGAGCGGGCAUAGCAAUAUGUCAGCGGCAGACGGGUGAGUAACGCGUGGGAACGUACCUUUUGGUUCGGAACAACUGAGGGAAACUUCAGCUAAUACCGGAUAAGCCCUUACGGGGAAAGAUUUAUCGCCGAAAGAUCGGCCCGCGUCUGAUUAGCUAGUUGGUGGGGUAAUGGCUCACCAAGGCGACGAUCAGUAGCUGGCCUGAGAGGAUGAUCAGCCACAUUGGGACUGAGACACGGCCCAAACUCCUACGGGAGGCAGCAGUGGGGAAUAUUGGACAAUGGGCGCAAGCCUGAUCCAGCCAUGCCGCGUGAGUGAUGAAGGCCCUAGGGUUGUAAAGCUCUUUUGUGCGGGAAGAUAAUGACGGUACCGCAAGAAUAAGCCCCGGCUAACUUCGUGCCAGCAGCCGCGGUAAUACGAAGGGGGCUAGCGUUGCUCGGAAUCACUGGGCGUAAAGGGUGCGUAGGCGGGUCUUUAAGUCAGGGGUGAAAUCCUGGAGCUCAACUCCANNANUGCCUUUGAUACUGAAGAU